rnacentral:rRNA from 1 species
GACAGAGGUGCCGAGCGUUAGGCGGAAUCACUGGGCUUAAAGCGCGUGUAGGCGGACCGUUAAGUGCCCGUGUGAAAUCCCCCGGCUCAACCGGGGAACGGCCGGGCAUACUGGCGGUCUUGGGCCACCCAGGGGUCACCGGAACAGGCGGUGGAGCGGUGAAAUGCGUAGAUAUCAGGAGGAACACCGAUGGCGAAGGCAGGUCUCUGGGCAUUAACUGACGCUGAGGAGCGAAAGCAUGGGGAGCGAACAGG